rnacentral:rRNA from 1 species
GACGAACGCUGGCGGCGUGCUUAACACAUGCAAGUCGAACGGAAAGGCCCUGCUUUUGUGGGGUGCUCGAGUGGCGAACGGGUGAGUAACACGUGAGUAACCUGCCCUUGACUUUGGGAUAACUUCAGGAAACUGGGGCUAAUACCGGAUAGGAGCUCCUGCUGCAUGGUGGGGGUUGGAAAGUUUCGGCGGUUGGGGAUGGACUCGCGGCUUAUCAGCUUGUUGGUGGGGUAGUGGCUUACCAAGGCUUUGACGGGUAGCCGGCCUGAGAGGGUGACCGGCCACAUUGGGACUGAGAUACGGCCCAGACUCCUACGGGAGGCAGCAGUGGUGAAUAUUGCACAAUGGGCGGAAGCCUGAUGCAGCAACGCCGCGUGCGGGAUGACGGCCUUCGGGUUGUAAACCGCUUUCGCCUGUGACGAAGCGUGAGUGACGGUAAUGGGUAAAGAAACACCGGCUAACUACGU